CGGUAACGCGGAGAGCUUGCUCUCUGGCGACGAGUGGCGGACGGGUGAGUAAUACUUAGGAAUCUGCCCAGUAGUGGGGGACAACUCGGGGAAACUCGAGCUAAUACCGCAUACGCCCUACGGGGGAAAGCGGGGGAUCUUCGGACCUGGCGUUAAUGGAGCGGCCGAUAGCUGAUUAGGUAGUUGGUGGGGUAAAGGCCUACCAAGCCUGCGAUCAGUAGCUGGUCUGAGAGGACGACCAGCCACACUGGGACUGAGACACGGCCCAGACUCCUACGGGAGGCAGCAGUGGGGAAUUUUGGACAAUGGGGGAAACCCUGAUCCAGCCAUUCCGCGUGAGUGAAGAAGGCCUUCGGGUUGUAAAGCUCUUUCGCAAGGGAAGAAAACUUACCCUCUAACAUAGGGUGAGGAUGACGGUACCUUGACAAGAAGCACCGGCUAACUACGUGCCAGCAGCCGCGGUAAUACGUAGGGUGCGAGCGUUAAUCGGAAUUACUGGGCGUAAAGCGUGCGCAGGCGGCCUUAAAAGUCAGAUGUGAAAUCCCCGAGCUCAACUUGGGAACUGCGUUUGAAACUCUAAGGCUAGAAUAUGUCAGAGGGGGGUAGAAUU
rnacentral:rRNA from 1 species